UAAAACAUAUCGCUUAAUCUGUUAAACAGAGCGGGGGACCCAUUUCGGCGGCAUUUUGCCGCUUGGGGUGAAUCCUUUUUAGGUAGGGCUAACUCUCAUAGGCCCGAAUCCGACAGCUAACCUCGUAAGCGUUCAUGAGAGGAGAU
rnacentral:sRNA from 2 species